rnacentral:rRNA from 1 species
UUAGACAGGAAUAGCCCAUGGAAACGUGGAUUAAUGCCUGAUAGUCUCUACGGAGUAAAUGGUGCCUUCGGGUAUCGCUAAAGGAUGGGCUCGCGGCCUAUCAGCUUGUUGGUGAGGUAAAGGCUCACCAAGGCGACGACGGGUAGCUGGUCUGAGAGGACGAUCAGCAACACUGGAACUGAGACACGGUCCAGACACCUACGGGUGGCAGCAGUCGAGAAUCAUUCACAAUGGAGGCAACUCUGAUGGUGCAACGCCGCGUGGAGGAUGACGGUCCUAGGAUUGUAAACUCCUGUCAUUGGGGAGUAAGACUUAAGCGUUAAGAGCGUUUAAGUUUGAUAGUACCCAAAGAGGAAGGGACGGCU